ACCUGCGGAAGGAUCAUUACAGAGUUCAUGCCCGAAAGGGUAGACCUCCCACCCUUGUGUAUUAUUACUUUGUUGCUUUGGCGAGCUGCCUUCGGGCCUUGUAUGCUCGCCAGAGAAUACCAAAACUCUUUUUAUUAAUGUCGUCUGAGUACUAUAUAAUAGUUAAAACUUUCAACAACGGAUCUCUUGGUUCUGGCAUCGAUGAAGAACGCAGCGAAAUGCGAUAAGUAAUGUGAAUUGCAGAAUUCAGUGAAUCAUCGAAUCUUUGAACGCACAUUGCGCCCCUUGGUAUUCCGGGGGGCAUGCCUGUUCGAGCGUCAUUUCAACCCUCAAGCUUAGCUUGGUAUUGAGUCUAUGUCAGUAAUGGCAGGCUCUAAAAUCAGUGGCGGCGCCGCUGGGUCCUGAACGUAGUAAUAUCUCUCGUUACAGGUUCUCGGUGUGCUUCUGCCAAAACCCAAAUUUUUCUAUGGUUGACCUCGGAUCAGGUAGGGAUACCCGCUGAACUUAAGCAUAUCA
rnacentral:rRNA from 1 species